CUUAAUGAAUGAAAGUNNAAGGGGUGUCCCAGGAUGGGUAACUGGAAUGGUUCCCUAGUGGCGGAGAGAAAAGUAAUUCGUGGGCAAUCUGCCCUCAGGCCCGGGACAACAGCGCGAAAGUGCUGCUAAGACCGGAUGACCUUGCGAGAUGGCAUCAUUUUGCAAGCAAAGGUUACUCCUGAUGAUGAGCCCGCGUCCCAUUAGCUAGUUGGUGAGGUAACGGCCCACCAAGGCGACGAUGGGUAGCCUGACUGAGAGGUUGGCCGGCCACACUGGGACUGAGACUCUGUCCAGACUCCUACGGGAGGCAGCACUGGG
rnacentral:sRNA from 1 species